UAUAAGUUCAAUCAUGUCAUUACACUAACUCUAGUGUUCUUUUCAUCACUUUAUGUUGCUACUCUAGCAAUCAUAGUUCUUUACAUUUCUUUACUUUAUCUAUCUCUAACAAUCAUGUUCUUCACUCUUCGCAUAUUCUUUAUGCCCCACAUUCCCUUUACUUUAGUCAUUGUCAUUGCUCUUUACAUCACAUUGAUUCAUUGCCUUACACUAACUCUAGUGUCACUUUACUCUACAUUAUCGAAU
rnacentral:lncRNA from 1 species